CUUCUGCCCAGACCUGCAGAAUAGGUUUUCUGCUUGCGACUACCCGAGUGGGAACUGCGACUGCUUCCCAAAAGUAACCCUAAACACGCAGAAAUCAAUGCCUAAGCAUAUUCAUAAAGCAAGCACUCAUUUAAGGAGGUAUACUUAUACGCAGUUGGCACACCUGUAUUUUGGACCUCUACACCAUCCUGGAAACCUUUGUUAGGGUUGCUGUCAAUGAUGGUGAAGGCUGUGUACAUGCAGACGAUGUUGCAAUGUUUACUGGUCUGGAUGGCCUUCACGCGGUACCGCUUAGCUGAACCUAAAGACACGUGUUAGUCUCUUAUGACGGAGCGAGCGGCCAGCUGGUGAAUGAUCUCCCCCCAAGAUUCCCUCUCUCUUCCUCGUUUACUUUGACAAUCUUCCCCCGCCGUCGCCGUCUGGUCCUCCGGGACCAAGAGGUGGGCCAGGUUCACG